rnacentral:rRNA from 1 species
GACGUAGGGCGCGAGCGUUGUCCGGAUUUAUUGGGCGUAAAGAGCUCGUAGGCGGCUCGUUGCGUCGGCUGUGAAAACCCGCAGCUCAACUGUGGGCUUGCAGCUGAUACGGGCGGGCUGGAGUUCGGUAGGGGAGACUGGAAUUCCUGGUGUAGCGGUGAAAUGCGCAGAUAUCAGGAGGAACACCGGUGGCGAAGGCGGUUCUCUGGGCAUUACCUGACGCUGAGGAGCGAAAGCAUGGGGAGCGAACAGG